AUUGAACGCUGGCGGCAGGCCUAACACAUGCAAGUCGAGCGGAUGACGGGAGCUUGCUCCUUGAUUCAGCGGCGGACGGGUGAGUAAUGCCUAGGAAUCUGCCUGGUAGUGGGGGACAACGUUUCGAAAGGAACGCUAAUACCGCAUACGUCCUACGGGAGAAAGCAGGGGACCUUCGGGCCUUGCGCUAUCAGAUGAGCCUAGGUCGGAUUAGCUAGUUGGUGGGGUAAUGGCUCACCAAGGCGACGAUCCGUAACUGGUCUGAGAGGAUGAUCAGUCACACUGGAAGUGAGACACGGUCCGGACUCCGACGGGAGGAAGCAGUGGGGAAUAUUGGACAAUGGGCGAAAGCCUGAUCCAGCCAUGCCGCGUGUGUGAAGAAGGUCUUCGGAUUGUAAAGCACUUUAAGUUGGGAGGAAGGGCAGUAAGUUAAUACCUUGCUGUUUUGACGUUACCGACAGAAUAAGCACCGGCUAACUCUGUGCCAGCAGCCGCCGUAA
rnacentral:rRNA from 1 species